GGAUUCUCCAGUAACGGCGAGUGAACGGAGAUUAGCCCAUCACCGAAGUCCAGUGCUUUUGCAUAUAGGACAAUGUGGUGUUUAAGCUUGUACCUGGGAUUGCGAACCUACCCGAAGUCCAACUCCGAUUGUGGCUUGGAUUGUGCCCAUAGCGGGUGAGAGGCCCGUACGGGUAGGUUCUGUUGUAUGCAGUCCUCAGAUGUACUUGCUUUCGAGUCGGAUUGCUUGAGAAUGCAGUCCAAAGUGGGUGGUAAACUCCAUCCAAGGCUAAAUACUGGCACGAGUCCGAUAGUAGACAAGUACCGUGAGGGAAAGUUGAAAAGUACUCUGAAGAGAGAGUAAAUAGCACGUGAAGCCGGUUGCAGGGAAGCUGGUGGAGUCAAGCUUCAUGCUUGAGGGGUUUAUG
rnacentral:rRNA from 1 species